rnacentral:lncRNA from 1 species
AUGGGCAUAGAAAUGUCCAUUUUAUCCUUUGCUAAAGAUAAUUAUCCCAGAGAAACAGAAAUAAGGAGAAAAAAAGAAGCAGAAUGUUUCCUGAUAUCAAUAUCUGUGCAAGGAAUCCAAGGAAUAUCUGUGCAAGGAGAUGAUUUCAGAAAAAAAAAAGAAAAAAUCUUACAAGACAUUUUAGUAUUCUUACAGAGACUGUAUUGGAAUGUUUCAGAGUGAUUUGUUGAUCUGCUACUUUUUCAUUUUGCUUACGAAUGUGCUUGUCUAAUGCAGUUGAAUACUUCUAAAUAAAUGCUCUCAUAUAAACU